ACCGGGACUUGGGGAGCGAGGGAUGCAACAUGGUGCAUCUGGGAGGCCUGCUAACUGGCUAACUUCUCCGGCGUUCCUCCCGGCCGAGGCGUGGGCACAGAAUAGCGCAGUUUGAAGACAUCAUUUUCCAGUUUUGGAGCCGACUAAUGAACUAGUUCUUAAGUGAAAGGCAUUUAACACGACUGUGCAUCUACAGGUACUAGGUUUCCAAGAUGCCUUUCCAGACUAAAACCCACACAUGUGAGCCGCUGGCCGGACAAACAUCUGGCACCUAACGUGGGGCUGAAAAACAGCAGAGGACAUUUGGAAGAAACACUGCUGGUUUGGAGCUCCAUAGAAGAAGAAAAUAAUUAAAGGAAAUUCAUACCAGAGAAGGAAGCUGCAGCUCCUCUCCUCUGGAUCUUUAUGACCACACCAGGAAGCAUUGUGAUCUGCAGUCACUGCCAACCUGCAGGAUAACACAGCUUGUUCCUCUGGGAACUGCCCUGCAGUGUCUGCAUACAGCCACCCUCGACCUGUCUGCCUGGUCUUUGCAACCUCUAGUGGCUGUUGUUCCACAAUGUGUUGUGAAGAGACCUGAAUGGUUUGCACCAAAACACAAACACAAACCAUUGGGAGAGUGAUUGGUGAAGUGAUGGACAUUUACUCGGGCAAAGGUGAGGCUGAGUAAAUAUAAAAUCUGCCUUCAAGUAUUUUUGCAUCAAUGAACAGAAGUAUAUCUUUAAGCCAGUUUUUGUGUGUAUGUGUGGUUAAAAGGUCAAUGAUGAAAAUGGCACAUAAUGCUUUUAUUUACUAUUGAUUUUUGUCUUCAGUUGUUGUUGUUGUUGUUGUUAUUGUUAUGGAGGUGGAGGUGAGGGUGGGGGUGGUAGUGGUUUUUCUAAGACAGGGUCUCCCU
rnacentral:lncRNA from 1 species